rnacentral:rRNA from 1 species
UACAGAGGUCUCAAGCGUUGUCCGGAAUUAUUGGGCGUAAAGAGCUCGUAGGCGGUCUGUCGCGUCGGCUGUGAAAUCCCGAGGCUCAACCUCGGGUCUGCAGUCGAUACGGGCAAACUAGAGUAUUGCAGGGGAGACUGGAAUUCCUGGUGUAGCGGUGAAAUGCGCAGAUAUCAGGAGGAACACCGGUGGCGAAGGCGGGUCUCUGGGCAAUAACUGACGCUGAGGAGCGAAAGCGUGGGGAGCGAACAGG